rnacentral:rRNA from 1 species
CCUACGGGUGGCAGCAGUGGGGAAUAUUGCACAAUGGGGGAAACCCUGAUGCAGCGACGCCGCGUGAGUGAAGAAGUAAUUCGUUACGUAAAGCUCUAUCAGCAGGGAAGAAAGAAAUGACGGUACCUGAGUAAGAAGCCCCGGCUAACUACGUGCCAGCAGCCGCGGUAAUACGGAGGGGGCAAGCGUUAUCCGGAAUUACUGGGUGUAAAGGGAGCGUAGACGGUAAUGCAAGUCUGGAGUGAAAGGCGGGGGCCCAACCCCCGGACUGCUCUGGAAACUGGGUAACUGGAGUGCAGGAGAGGCAGGCGGAAUGCCUGGUGUAGCGGUGAAAUGCGUAGAUAUUAGGAGGAACACCAGUGGCGAAGGCGGCCUGCUGGACUGUAACUGACGUUGAGGCUCGAAAGCGUGGGGAGCAAACAGGAUUAGAUACCCUUGUAGUC